AGAUUAAGUUAUUAAGGGCGCACGGUGGAUGCCUUGGCACUAGAAGCCGAUGAAGGACGUUACUAACGACGAUAUGCUUUGGGGAGCUGUAAGUAAGCUUUGAUCCAGAGAUUUCCGAAUGGGGAAACCCAGCAUGAGUUAUGUCAUGUUAUCGAUAUGUGAAUACAUAGCAUAUCAGAAGGCACACCCGGAGAACUGAAACAUCUUAGUACCCGGAGGAAGAGAAAGAAAAUUCGAUCCCCUUAGUAGCGGCGAGCGAAACGGGAAGAGCCCAAACCAACAAGCUUGCUUGUUGGGGUUGUAGGACACUCUAUACGGAGUUACAAAGGACGACAUUAGACGAAUCAUCUGGAAAGAUGAAUCAAAGAAGGUAAUAAUCCUGUAGUCGAAAAUGUUGUCUCUCUUGAGUGGAUCCUGAGUACGACGGAGCACGUGAAAUUCCGUCGGAAUCUGGGAGGACCAUCUCCUAAGGCUAAA
rnacentral:rRNA from 1 species